GAAGGCCUUCGGGGUGUAAAGCUCUUUCGACGGGGAAGAUAAUGACGGUACCUGUAGAAGAAGCUGCGGCUAACUACGUGCCAGCAGCCGCGGUAAUACGUAGGGGGCAAGCGUUGUUCGGAAUUACUGGGCGUAAAGGGUGCGUAGGCGGCUUUUUAAGUUUGGUGUGAAAUCUCCCGGCUCAACUGGGAGGGUGCGCCGAAUACUGUCGGGCUUGAGUGUGGGAGAGGAAAGUGGAAUUCCUGGUGUAGCGGUGAAAUGCGUAGAUAUCAGGAGGAACACCUGUGGUGUAAGCGGCUUUCUGGACCAUUACUGACGCUGAGGCACGAAAGCGUGGGUAGCAAACAGGAUUAGAUACCCUGGUAGUCCACGCCCUAAACGAUGCAUAUUUGGUGUGGG
rnacentral:rRNA from 1 species